GGUAUUCUGACUGUGCUAAGGUAGCAUAAUCAUUUGCUUCUUAAUUGGUAGCUGGUAUGAACGGUUGAGCUGUCUUAAGAAGUGUGUUCACUUUAUUAGAAAAUUAAAGUCAAGGUAAGAAUUCUUUGAUAACUUAGGGGACGAUAAGACCCUACAAGCUUGAUAAGUAUGAUAACGGCUUUGUGUUUUUUUUAUAAUUUGUUUUACUGGGGCGGUACUGGUGCUUUAACUACUAGCUAGAUUAAGAUCCUUAAUAUAAAGAAAAAAUGGGUAAGUUACUUUAGGGAUAACAGUGCAAUAUUUUUGGAGAGAUCUUAUCGAUAAGUAUGUUUGCAACCUCGAUGUUGAAUUAAAAUUUCUACGUGAAGCAGAAAGUACAGUAGAGGGUUUGUUCAACCUUUAAAUUUUUACAUGAUCUGAGUUCAAACCGG
rnacentral:rRNA from 1 species